rnacentral:lncRNA from 1 species
CUUGAAUGCCACAUUACUUUUACAGCCAACUUACUGUUUUUGUCCUGUUUUAGACAGAGGGAAGCAGUGGCACGAAGACUGUGUAUUAAUGAAUAUAAGAUCAGUUUGCAGCCAUAGGCUACCUUAGAAUUCAGUGGGAGAGGAGACUCUUAUGUGAAUGCUCUGAAAUUUCUUUCCCUAUAACAAGAACAAGUUUUCAACAUUUUUCCCUUUCCAACGUCAUUACAAUGUUAUCUACAGUCCUCCAAGGUCAGCUGCCUAUUCAAAGUCGUCUUCAGUGCGUUGGCUCAGAAGCAUAUGAACUUUGUCAAGGGUGGAGAGAGAUGGAAAGAAGGAAAGAUUUUGGCAGAAUUGAUUCUUCAAAAUUUCCCCUUGUGCUAAUUAGAGAACAUGAUGGAGAUGGAAUGCCAUGACUGAAUGGUUUUGUUUAGCUCUAAAAAUUCAAUUAAAAUAAAUAUUAAUUUCUAAA